AUGCUGAAAACGCCUGUAUUAUUUAUUUAUGUAUUUAUUUUAUAAUCACCAUUCUGCGUUCUGAACUCUGCCAAUAUCGUCACUGUUGUCAGACUGAAGGUCUUCCUCCAAGGUUUCUUCUCCCGCAUUGCGGUCUCAGUAAGGCUCCAAACGUGAGCCUUAUUGAACAUCCAAAAAGCUGUGGGGGCUGUAUCCCCCACAGCUUCUUCAGAAAUACCUUCAGACUGGACAUAAAAUGUUUGUUUGUUUGGGUGUCAGAUUGUUGCUUUCUUUCUCAUGUAAGAGUUCUCUUUGUCAGUUUGAUGAAUGAGGCCUGUUCGGAUAAGGCCUUUUCGUGAUGUUGUGGUACCUUUUUUAUGACUUCUUCUUUUGCCUUUUUUUCCCAUUUCUCUUGGAUUUGUUUUUUUUUUUUUUUAACAGAGUGCAAUGGGCCCCAAACCCGGCGUCUAUAGUUGCACCCUAAACAUUACUGGCAUUGUAUCCGAGGGCUCUCUUCAAGAUGGUGACCGUACCCUUAAUUGCGUAUAACUACAUACAGUGUUGACCAGGGAUUGCCUCAAGGUAUUUCUUCAGGUUCUUCUUCAUAAGCCCUGUUGCUCCCACCACAAACGGUAUGAUAUCUAUUUCUUUCAAUGACCAUGCUGUUCGUAGAUCGUUUUUAAGGUCUUGGUAUUUUGUGAUUUUCUCCCUUUCAGCUCUAUUCAGGCCAUAGUCAUUG